AGCUCCAAUAGCGUAUAUUUAAGUUGUUGCAGUUAAAAAGCUCGUAGUUGGAUUUCGGAUGUGAACGACCGGUCCGCCGUUGCGGUGUGCACUGGACGUUUGUAUCUUGUUGUCGGGGACGCGCACCUUGCCUUAAGUGGUCGGGACGCGGAGUCGGCGCUGUUACUUUGAAAAAAUUAGAGUGUUCAAAGCAGGCAACCGCUCUGAAUACAUUAGCAUGGAAUAACGCUAUAGGACUCUGGUCUUAUUGUGUUGGUCUUCGAGACCGGAGUAAUGAUUAAGAGGGACAGUUGGGGGCAUUCGUAUUUCAUUGUCAGAGGUGAAAUUCUUGGAUUUAUGAAAGACGAACUUCUGCGAAAGCAUUUGCCAAGGAUGUUUUCAUUA
rnacentral:rRNA from 2 species